AGGUAGCUCCAACAGCAAGGAGAAGAGAUGCGAGACUGUCCUUUGCAUUUUUAUAUCCCGAUAAGAAUGGACGUUUUGUGGUGAGCGAGGUUGGGAAGACCUUUUCUUACGGUAAUGGGAGGCGAUUGGAUGACAUCAAAACCUUACAAGAACUUCUCUUCGAGAUGGGAGAUUACUUAGACGUGGCUAUUAUGUGAGAGAAGCAAAUGUACAAGAUGCAUGUUUUG